rnacentral:rRNA from 1 species
AGAAUUUGAUCUUGGUUCAGGAUGAACGCUAGCUACAGGCUUAACACAUGCAAGUCGAGGGGCAGCAUGGGGUAGCAAUACUCAGAUGGCGACCGGCGCACGGGUGAGUAACACGUAUCCAACCUGCCGCUUACUCGGGGAUAGCCUUUCGAAAGAAAGAUUAAUACCCGAUGGUAUAAAGAGUUCGCAUGUUCUCUUUAUUAAAGAAUUUCGGUAAGCGAUGGGGAUGCGUUCCAUUAGAUAGUUGGCGGGGUAACGGCCCACCAAGUCUACGAUGGAUAGGGGUUCUGAGAGGAAGGUCCCCCACAUUGGAACUGAGACACGGUCCAAACUCCUACGGGAGGCAGCAGUGAGGAAUAUUGGUCAAUGGACGAGAGUCUGAACCAGCCAAGUAGCGUGAAGGAUGACUGCCCUAUGGGUUGUAAACUUCUUUUAUAAGGGAAUAAAGUGAGGGACGUGUCCCUUUUUGUAUGUACCUUAUGAAUAAGGAUCGGCUAACUCCGUGCCAGCAGCUGC